rnacentral:snRNA from 1 species
AUCGCUUCUCGGCCUUUUAGCUAAGAUCAAGUGUAGUGUCUGUUCUUAUCAGAAAUGCCAAGUGUAAUGGAAUUAGAGCUAUUUCCCCAACAUCCCCAUACAUACCUUAAAGUUUGAAAAAUGUUUAAAACAUAAGGAAAACUCU